rnacentral:rRNA from 1 species
GAUCAUGGCUCAGGAUGAACGCUAGCUACAGGCUUAACACAUGCAAGUCGAGGGGAAACGACAUCGAAAGCUUGCUUUUGAUGGGCGUCGACCGGCGCACGGGUGAGUAACGCGUAUCCAACCUGCCCACCACUUGGGGGAUAACCUUGCGAAAGUAAGACUAAUACCCAAUGACAUCCCACGAAGACAUCUGAAUGGGAUUAAAGAUUUAUCGGUGAUGGAUGGGGAUGCGUCUGAUUAG